rnacentral:lncRNA from 1 species
AAUUAUCAUCAUCUUCUUGAUCUUGCAAGCUGGUUGCUUUGAGAGAGACGUUUUUCUUCUUUCGGUUUGAAUAUUCAUUCCUGGUCAAACGCUCUAACUUCAUCUAAUGUUCCUUGAGUUUUCCAAACAGAGUCGCUAAAGGCAUGGAAUUUAAGUCUUCCGACUCCAUUAUGACAAUUACUUUCGGCUGCCAUUUCCAAUCAAGGCAAUGCAAAAC